rnacentral:pre_miRNA from 2 species
GGGGUUCCUGGGGAUGGGAUUUGAUGCCAGUCACAAAUCACAUUGCCAGGGAUUUCCAA